rnacentral:misc_RNA from 1 species
UAAUUACCGAGAACGCGAAGCAGCAAGACGAUAAAUUUUUCCUCUGAUCUAUAUUGCAGCACAUUGGUAACGGAAUGAUUAGAAUAAUUCGAUUUACAGACGGGCAAUGUGGAAUAUGGUCAGAAUGAUGCGUCAUACGUGUAUGCUUCAUGCAUGUAUGUACUUGGAAGUCGGAUCUGACGAUAACGAGAAGUACAGACUUAUUUCACGCUACUGUACGAUUGCAGGGCGACUGCGGGGCGCCUGCAGGGCCGCAAAAUGCAUCCCGUAAUCCCGAGAGCGUAAAAGCGAGGGUGUUCUAUUAUAAAUAGAUUUUUCGUGUCUGCCUUUAGGUGCGGCCCUAUUGAUGCUAUUUUUGAACUCAUACCGAGUUGUUACACUCCUCUGCUCAGUUCUAAGGAGUUUUGCCUUGCAACAACGUUCUUGGAGCAAAGAUUCUCUUCGUUAUUUGAUACGAAUUUCAAAUCAAAUAAACCGCCGUGCGCGAUUUCGAGAACAAUAAAUAAAAAAAGAUAUACAUAUAUAUAUAUAAUCACCCAUCGAGUUACAAAAUUGCGUGAUAAAACUUUGUCAAUAUAAAACUUUUCGUUUUUGUAUAGAAUAUUUUGAUACAACGUGUAUCCAUGUGUACAUAUUUUUAUAAGAAGGGAAAAAAAAAAUAAUGUUAUUUUUAAAAUAGAAUUUAAAAUAAUCGUUGAAUAAUAAUAAUUAGUGAACUUAAUUUAAUAAAUAUAACAGAUCAUAUUAAUAUAUACGUAUAUAAAUUAAAUCAGUGUACAAAAUAAAAGUUAUGCAUGCUAAUAGGUAAAAGUCUGGUAUCGGUGAUUACUCCUAGAAACGAAAAUAAGAGAAAUAAAAUUUUUAAAUUUAUACAACAGAAGCAAGCGAACAAAGAACGUAAAAACAUGAAUUUGAGUAAAUAGUUUUGUAAAAAACUUUUUUCAGAUAUAAAAAUGUUCAGUUCGUUAAGACUGGCCAGUAUGCGCUCGCACAAGAGUCGAGCGAGACCAGGAAGCGUGGCAACUUCGGCGAGCUCUGAUUCCGCCCGUCCAGAUGAAAUGUGCCAGCAGCAAUUUUAUCCAAAUAAUUUUUUGGCUCUAGAUGAGGGAGAGGGAUCCAGUCCGCCUCCUUCUAGCGUCUCUUCAAAAGUAGCUCAAGUCAGGGUCGAGAGGGAGGGCGGAAGCCUCGGUGUUACACUUAGAGGUGGAGUCGCCAGAGCUCUAGUUGUUACCGGAGUUAGAGCAGACGGUCCUGCAGCUAGAGAGGGACGAGUGAGACCCGGCGAUCGACUGCUGGCAGUCGAUGAGACUGAACUGCGAGGCCUCACAUUGGCAGAGGCGCAAAGAGCUCUCAGAAGAAGCUCCGAUGCCCUCGUAGCUUCCCUGACCAUCGAGUAUGAUGUCGCAAAUAUGGAAGAGGCCCGUGCAGCUACAUCAGGGCCACUUUUGGUUCAACUAGAGCGCGGAUUCUCAGGAGAACUAGGACUGACCGUCAGAGAGACACCGAACGGCGUUUGCAUCGAGAGUCUUCGACCAGCCAGUACUGCCGAUAGAUGCGGAGCGCUUCAACCGGGCGAUCGGCUUUUGGCGGUGGAUGAAAUGCCUGUUCAAGAUGCAGUGACUGCGGCAAAGUUACUCCGCAAUGUUUCGGACAAUUGUCGGAUAGCUAGAUUGCAAAUUUUACCCCGACCUCCGAGUGCCUCGUCCAGAACAGUCAAAAGGAGGGCUCAGCCCCAAGCUCAGCAAAAUUCUACGCAAACAUUGUACACUAAGGAGAGUUUGACUGUGGUCCUGAGACCCGAUCACAGAGGUCUCGGCUUAUCGUUGAGGCCCUCGGAGGACCGUCUAUCGUAUGUAAUAGACCUGCUGGAAGCCGGUGGUCCGGCUGAGAGAAGCGGGGUUCUCCUCCCUGGAGACAAGGUUCUUGCCAUCAAUAGAAGAAUGCUGAGAGAUUUACAGCCAGCAGAAGUUGCAGCGCUCUUAGAAGCCUCUCAGGUCGAGUUGGUGACAGAAUACAAAGUCGGAGGGGCGGUAGUCCCUAGUUCUGGUGUGUUCACAGUAAGGGUAGCGAGACCGCUCGGCGGGCAACCCGACCUGGGGCUAACGGUAAACGAAGAUUUAGCUAUUGCUGAAGUUCGUCAAGGCUCCUUAGCCCACCGAACUGGAAGUCUGGCACCUGGAGAUAGACUGUUGGCUAUAGAUGGUCAAAAACUGAAUUCAGGAGAUCUUCGACAAGCUGCUCAACUCCUACAUAGACCUGGGAGCUCGGUCGUAGCUCUUACAAUAAGAAAACCAGAUAUAGUCACAGAUGGAAGGGAAUCGAAUAUAGGAAACGAUACUGUGCAGCCACAGUAUUCGGGAGGCAAUUUAAGAUCUGCUAGAGAGAGUCUUCCGAGUGUAGACAGUGCCGUGGAUUCUUGGGGAGACGCUGGUGAAGGUGUCGGUCCAGGACCAGAGCUGCUACGACUUUGGGAAACUGCGUCUGUGGAUAGCGGUCAACUCGAUUUAUCCAUGCCUCCGUACCCAGGAUCUCCUGGGCGAAAUGGUACUGACAACAGAUCGCAACAGAUAGUUCACGUCUCUCUUCACAAGGAUCCCGUCUAUGAAGAUUUCGGAUUUUCUGUAUCCGACGGAAUGUACGAACGAGGUGUCUACAUUAACAGAUUGCGUCCUGGCGGACCGUGUGACGGUGUUUUAAGACCUUUUGAUCGAAUUUUGCGAGUCAAUGAUGCGAGCACCGAAGACUGUGACUGUUGUUUAGCUGUCCCAUUGAUCGCUGCAGCAGGUCCUAGGCUGGAUUUAACGGUAGCUCGGCCUCUGUCUCCACAGAAUAUUACGAAAACUUUAUAGAUAUAAUAUUAUUAUACCGAUUAUUAAUAUUCGUGCAAUUUGACUGAGAGAAAGGAUGGAAGACUGCUUUGAGCUAAAAAUCAACUCUUCUCUUCUGCACUCUCUCCGUCCAUACACACAAGGGUAACAUAUUCUCCCUCUUGCUCUCUCUCUUAUACAACUGUACAUUCUAUUUAAAAAUUGUCCAAUAUCAUUAGUAAAAGAAAUCUUGUCUUUAGACAAUUGUCUGUAAACACUUCAUUCGUGUUUUGUAAAAUAUAAUUAUCGUAGAUAAGAUUUGUCCGUUCAAUAUCUUGCGUACCAAACUUAUUCACGGUAUGUACUUAGGUCUAAAAAUAAAUAUUUUCUUCAGAA